rnacentral:rRNA from 1 species
UCUCCUGUGCGGCCCCUAUUGCCGGGCUUGAUUUCCACGUACUCGAACGACUCCUUACGUGAUCCGGCGAAUUUUUACACCUUGAGGCUUAAGCGAUCGGAUGGGGUAAAAUUUGCGUCAUCCCACCCCCUCAUGCGGUCGGCACCAGGAAUUCUCCGAUAAGACCCUUGUGGUCCAUGGUACGUACGCGGANUCGGACUACAAUGUUCCCACCAAGCGUUGUGGAAAGCCUCGCAGGNAGGCACCUGUGUUCCNCCAGGUACCAUCCACCUUAUCAGGCGAGAGAGAGGCCCAGGCCAUGGUCGGGCGAGCAGACUUAUUUUAGGGAACCCACAAUGGUGAGACUGUACACAGGACUCUUAGAACUGCCCUAUUGCCCAACUCGCCUCAGCCGGUUAGUUUNGAUCGCAGACGAAGACGUGGUCCUUGUGCCGAGCAGUUUAGGUUAUAAAGGCCCAGCGGUUUGUCANUAGUAUUUUGCGUGUACGAGGAGAUGAGCGCCGANUGCUAAUUGAUGUCACCAUAACAANGUUUAAUNUUAGUUUUCUUUCGGAGCCGCUUGUUACUCUCAUACUCACGCCAUAGUAACAGGACNACACGGAAGCCUUAAAUACACUAUCCCGCUCGNCGCAAAGGGGCACGCUUCCGNUGUCGUAUCAUCUCAACCGCCAGAGNCGCGUUGGCGCAAUAGGCGGAAUCUUAAAUGCCGUGUGACAGUCUCACCUAGUGUGCCUCGCUUAAANAAGAUCGUCCGCCCGUUUCAUUGGCUAGGGCUCUCUCACCCCNGAUAUGAUUGUGAGGUGCGUGGUUGGGACACAUGCUCGCUCCGUGCGGACCUUCCCACACACCUUGGGUGGGGACACUCUGGGCUCGUGCUCCCAGUUCAUACCUUAGAACAUUGCCAAGGCCCUUAACCCAUGGUUAUUCCGGGGUUCUAAACCACGUGUGGUUGAUAGGUAGCGCCAACAUUUUUUCACCCCUUUGCUUAGCUUCAAGACCCGUGAAUAGCCAUAAAAAUUUGGCCAGGUAACACUAAAUUCAGUGGACGCCGGAACAUGCCGCAAAAACAAAACGCCACAGAUUGGAAGGGC